rnacentral:RNase_P_RNA from 1 species
GUAAGGGUGAAACGGUGGUGUAAGAGACCACCAGCGUCCCGGGUGACCGGGGCGGCUCGGCAAACCCCACCCGGAGCAAGGCCAAGCAGGGACAGGAUUGCCCGUCCGCUACAUCCCAGGUGGGCCGCACGAGGCCGGUGGCAACACCGGUCCCAGAUAGAUGGCCGUCCCCGGGGAGAACCCGGGACAGAAUCCGGCUUACAGGCGAACUCAGAGC